rnacentral:rRNA from 1 species
UACAGUGGGUGCAAACGUUGCUCGGAAUCAUUGGGCGUAAAGCGCACGUAGGCGGUUCGUUAUGUCGGAUGUGAAAGCCCUUGGCUUAACCGAGGAAGUGCAUCCGAAACUGGCGAGCUAGAGUACUAAAGAGGAUCGCGGAAUUCCCGGUGUAGAGGUGAAAUUCGUAGAUAUCGGGAGGAACACCGGUGGCAAAGGCGGCGAUCUGGGUAGAUACUGACGCUGAGGUGCGAAAGCGUGGGGAGCAAACAGG